rnacentral:rRNA from 1 species
GGGGCCCCUCUCGGGUUACCGAAUUCAGACAAACUCCGAAUGCCAAUUAAUUUAACUUGGGAGUCAGAACAUGGGUGAUAAGGUCCGUGUUCGAAAGGGAAACAGCCCAGACCACCAGCUAAGGUCCCAAAAUAUAUGUUAAGUGGAAAAGGAUGUGGCGUUGCCCAGACAACUAGGAUGUUGGCUUAGAAGCAGCCAUCAUUUAAAGAGUGCGUAAUAGCUCACUAGUCGAGUGACACUGCGCCGAAAAUGUACCGGGGCUAAACAUAUUACCGAAGCUGUGGAUUGUCCUUUGGACAAUGGUAGGAGAGCGUUCUAAGGGCGUUGAAGCAUGAUCGUAAGGACAUGUGGAGCGCUUAGAAGUGAGAAUGCCGGUGUGAGUAGCGAAAGACGGGUGAGAAUCCCGUCCACCGAUUGACU